rnacentral:lncRNA from 1 species
UUGUACUUAUACUACAAUUCUGUACCUUGUUUGCAAUUAUAGAGAUGAGAUGUUGCAGAGUUCAAGGGUGAGCUUUAAAGACCUCCAUGUUCCAAAGAAUUUGUGCCAUUUGUUCAUGGUAGCCUAGGAGUCUUAUGUAUCUAUUUAUGUAUUAUUUCAAACAAAUGAUGUAUUCUUUUCAUACCAUCUGUAUAUUCUAAAUCUUAGUUGCUCAUGACUUGUGAUACCAAUUCUUGGAGGUAAUUUGUAAUAAAAUUUCAUUCUUUUGCUUCUUAUUAAUAUAUUAUCUCAUGUUAUGGUUUAUUCAUAUGUUGGAUGGUUCUCCUAAUAGGUUGAAUUAUGUGUCAUCAUGCCUGGUGGGAUUUGGGUCGUGACACUUCAUGUUCUUCGAUCUCAGCAACAAUGCCUAAGACAUCUACCUUAUUGCCAAACGUUGUUGUUGCUUCAAUUGUAGCAUUGUCACCAGCAAUAACUCUAGAAUUAACUCCACUAUCGACAUUGCAAUUUGCUUCAUCAUCAAUACAGAUUAGUACCACUUGGCUUGUCGUCCUCGGGCAGUGCAUGGACCUAUUGUUUUUCUCAGGACCACCUAGUUCUUGACCUUAAUCUCCAUCUCCAUAUCCACAACUAGAUUAGAGAAUUCAGCUGCAUUCUCAUCCACACUCGCUAUUUCCAUAUCCAAGCUUAGAUCAACAUCGACAUUUUCAAUGAGAGCCUUUUCAUUUUCCUUGUUGAUAACACAAUCUUGUAGCUGAUCAACCUUAGUGAGAUUCCCAUCGAUGGCACGUUGAGUAGGUCGAGUAGCAAUGAUCACGGGUGAAUUGACUUCAUUGUGCAUGUAAAUAACUAUCCUAAAUGCAUAUGACAUUUUAAAAAAAUACCAAAACCGCUACACAUUCUAAAAUUACUUACCUCUCUCGUUCUUGAUCAGUCCGGACAGAAUCCUAUGAUAAAUUCCGAUCCUCCUUGACAUAUUGGAGCAUCCACCAACUUAUCCUCAGUUGAUACUGAUUUGAACAAUACUUCCUCUAAGGAUGGUUCCGACAUUGGUCCUACAUAGCCUCUCGAAGACCCUUCACUACCUCAUUUUCUCCCUUCAUGUCUCUGCAGAAAAAUAUAAUGCACUGCCACCUAUAUUAUCAGAUUUUUCAUCAUUAUUCAAAGCCUCCUUUCUCAAACUCCUAUAAGAUCACUGUGGUGUGAUAAUGACAGUUACUCUAUUCAAUUCAGCCUUCACAACAUCCCCAGCUAGAUUCCUUACCUCAUCAUAUGUCACUAAAUGUUUUAUAAACUGCUCUACCGCCUCUCGCACUAUAGGAAUAAUGUAAGGGUGCACAAUCUGCAAAAGCACAAAAGGUUAACAAUUUGCUUAUAUGUUUGGAUAAAUAAUUUUACACUAUGAAACCAAGAAACCAAUAGCAUAUUUCAUACCUCCGAACCUAUCCCUUGACUUGAAAUGGGCCACCUUUCGCUCAAUUUAGAUGUAUGACAUCUCAACAUCUUAGAGUAGGCAAAUGAACAUCCCUUGACUUGGCAACAUCAUUUUCAAGAGCUGGAAAUGCUUCAUUUGCCCGGGCCUAUAAUGUAUUAAUCACACACAUAAUUUGCAAAACGACAAUAAUUAACUUAUUCUCUAUAAUCGACUACCUAUUGACACUUACCAUGAAUACCUAGGAGAAGCCAUAAAGAGCUUACGUGACAUUAACUUUUUCAAUGUGUUAUUUGUACUGUUUGAUCAUGUCUAUCUUGUUCUUCCAGUAGUCGAGAGUCAUGUCAAAAUAUUCCUUUUUCCUACGGAUAUAAGCUUAAGAAUACUAAAGAGGCCACCAUCUUACAACAUUUUAUCUCCACAACCUUGGAUUGGUCUUUCGCCGUAAGGAUGGUAUGCAGAAAUUACACCAAACAACACCUUAACUUUCUAUCAAAACUUAACCUGCUACCUUUCACCAACGAUAUUAACAUGUCUUAUGUAACCUUCAUGUUCUUGUUGUCCCUAAUAUUUUUGGCUAAAAUCUUCAUCUUUCUUCAAGACCUUGUUAUAUCUCUUAUCGCUGGAUAAGAGCUACAAUUCAACUCUGUUAUCAAUGCAAACUUGUUAAUGCUAAAGCACACUAAUUUUUUUUAUCUACAAGGAACUAGAACUCAUGAUUAUUUGGCUCUCUAAUUUGAUGAAAAAGAAGAUAAUGGGCCAUCUAUCCAUUGAAUUUGUUCCAGUGAUUCGACAACUUAAUAAAUUUACCGAAACAUGAAUUUUUAAAUUUCUGCAAUUAAGGUAUCAUCACCUGCAUUCACAUUACCUUCAUCAUCACCUCCCUCAUCUUCCUCACCACCUUCCUCCUCUUAUUGAGGAACUUUAUCUACUUCAACAACUUCAUCUUCAUCCUUGUUAUAAGCAUCGAUCUGACUCAUAGUAUUAUCUCUUUUAGAAUAUUUCUUCAACUGGACUUUGGGGUCCAAUUGUCGUUGCUAGAUUUUCAUCAUCCACAACUUUUGGUCUCUUCCUAUCUUUAUUAGAUGGGUUCCCAUAUGAUUUACGUUUCAUUAUAAUGAGGUAAUUUCUUUUCUGGGUAAGGUUGCUUGAUGCCUUUUUCGGCCUAGUAUAAACAAUCUUGUUAUAUAGUAUUACACUAAGAGACAACAAUUAGAAAAUUAAUUACAACAGGUCUAUAGUAUAUUUAUUGAGUCGAGGAAACAUGACAACUGCAACCACAACCUAAACUCAAAAAUUCGUUCAAAGAUUCGCGUUGUGGAAGAGAAAACAUCAUCGCUAAAAGUUUCAAAUAAACUAGAGAAAACGUAAAAAGAUAAUAUUAACGUUCUACCAGACAACAACACAACAAACAUAAUCAACCAAAAUCUUUCCAAAUAACACAACGAGGCGACAAAUUAUAGCUUUAUUACCCUAAAAAAAUUGGCAAAAGUUGAAACUUUAUCACAUUAGGGUUCCUCAAGAUUGGAACUUUAACCUUCAGGUUAGUGAUUGACUACCCCGCAAAAGAUGACCUUCAAAAGGCAAUGCAAUAAUGGAGAACACAAAUUUAUGCUCAAAUACCUUAAAAAACAACGACGUUCGUAGGCUGAAAUCCUUCGACGAAUUGGAGAUAGUGGAGAGCUGAGAGAGAGAGAAAUGCGAAG